CCUACGGGGGGCUGCAGUGAGGAAUAUUGGUCAAUGGACGAGAGUCUGAACCAGCCAAGUAGCGUGAAGGAUGACUGCCCUAUGGGUUGUAAACUUCUUUUAUAAAGGAAUAAAACGAGGCACGUGUGCCUUUUUGCAUGUACUUUAUGAAUAAGGAUCGGCUAACUCCGUGCCAGCAGCCGCGGUAAUACGGAGGAUCCGAGCGUUAUCCGGAUUUAUUGGGUUUAAAGGGAGCGUAGAUGGGUUGUUAAGUCAGUUGCGAAAGUUUGAGGCUCAACCGUAAAAUUGCAAUUGAUACUGGCAGUCUUGAGUACAGUUGAGGUAGGCGGAAUUCGUGGUGUAGCGGUGAAAUGCUUAGAUAUCACGAAGAACCCCGAUUGCGAAGGCAGCUUACUAAACUGUGACUGACAUUGAUGCUCGAAAGUGUGGGUAUCAAACAGGAUUAGAUACCCCGGUAGUC
rnacentral:rRNA from 1 species